AUCUCUAUCUGAAGAUUGCUCCUCUUAGAGUCCUUCUGUGAGCCCAGGACAUGGGCCUGGUAUUUAGAAACCCUGCUUCUACUAAAAAACCGCAUUGAUACAAAUUUCUCUUAAUAUUUGUGGAUGCCAGAGGCAGGUUCUUGAGCAGAAAGCAGUGUAAUGCUACAGUUCAGCAGUCAGCACAUCAACUCUCUUGGGAGGAAAUCUUUAGAAGCUCAUAGCAUGAAAGACAGCUCCUAAGUUGCAUGAGAGGGAUUUUAUCUGAAAAAUGAUUAGCAGAACAAUCCAACUGCAGUAUGUGAUUAUUGCACAAUCAAUGUAAGUGGGAGUAUCUUUUUAGAAAACGGUUGACUGCCAUAAGAAGAACCCUGAGGAGGUGUGGUAUAUAAGCCUGAGAUGCAGUUAUGAUUGCAAAACCUUAAGAUCUACAAUGUAGCACUGCAUUCUAACAGGGAAGACUGAAACUCCAAGGAUGUUGAUGGCUGCAUGCCAUAGUGUCUCAGGAUUGGUAAAUACUGAUACAGAAGGAAACAACAAGGCAAAUGAGCUAUCAGUGAAGAACAGGAGUUUCUGUGUGGAUGGAUAUUUAACUGGGGACGAAGAAGGUGCCAUUUUACUUGUUUGUGGAUGCUCCAGGAUACACUGAAAAAAACAAGGUGCUCCCUACUUCACCAGAAUUGGUAUCUACAGAAAUUAGGGUGGGCUUUGUCAUGCUGCUCACUGGAGAGGAAAAUACCACCUUUUUUUGUAACUCAUAUGGCUAUAGUCAAAUGAAGAUGCUUCCUGUAUAGUUUUGACAUUUAGCUUUCCUCUUAAAAACAAAUUCAUGAGCAGUGUCGUCUUUGUUUUUGCUUUUUUAGUGGAAUAAAUUUAUCACAGGAUUGGCAGAUAUAAAAAAAAAAACGACUGGUUUCCUCCAUUGCCCACCAUCACAGAAAUUUUAUAGAGUGGAACAAUCUGAAAACUUGUGGUUUUAGAGCUUAUAUUACAUGUACUCAGAUAAGAACAUGCUGUAUGUACCUUUAUAAGUUAGUGGUCACCUGUGAAAAUAAGAGUGUUGUUCUUUCCAUCUUCCUGUUGCUAUCUCUAUCUGUAGAUGUCAAUGAAAAUUUUUGUCAGGGACUAAGAAUAUUUUUGUCAAUCUGCUUGAAAAUCCAGCAAUAUAUAACCCUUGACACAAAGUGUAUUUGAAGUCUUGCUGUGUUUUUAGUCUAUCUGUGAAAAUACUGUUUUACUUUGUGUCCUUAUCAUUGCAUUGUUUUCUUAUAUAUCUUAUACAGUUUAUCACUUCUAAUGUCCCUCAGGAAAAAGUUCCAGUUCAUGCUUUCACCAGUAAAUCUAUCACAUUGAUUUUUAGAUUUGAUGAUAUUCAAAGUAAUCUUAUGUAGGAUAAGUGAAUCUAUUGAAAGGUAUUAGUAAUAAACCUAUUACUGGGAUAGAAUGACAUAAUUUAGGGUCCAUAAUAAUCAGUUAGAACCACUGUGUAUCACCUUUUGUAAAUGUUCACUAAUUUUCAUAAAAUAAAGGUGUUCUUCACUUC
rnacentral:lncRNA from 1 species